rnacentral:tRNA from 1 species
UCCUGAGUGGCUCAGAUGGUAAAGCGUAUGCCUAUAAUGCAGGAGACCUGGGUUCGAUCCCUGGGUCAGGAG